rnacentral:snoRNA from 1 species
CUUGCUCGUAGAAGUGUUGGAGGCAUGGCUACUGUGUCAAAUGUGCAUCAGUAGGUGGCGGAGAGGAGAGAGGAUAUGUGGAGAGGAUAUCAGACUCAGUGGUCUGAUCUGUGAACAUCUGAAUGAUUAGUAGCCUAACAUU